rnacentral:rRNA from 1 species
GAUGAACGCUGGCGGCGUGCCUAAUACAUGCAAGUCGAGCGAACAGACGAGGAGCUUGCUCCUUCGACGUUAGCGGCGGACGGGUGAGUAACACGUAGGUAACCUACCUAUAAGACUGGGAUAACUUCGGGAAACCGGAGCUAAUACCGGAUAAUAUUUCGAACCGCAUGGUUCGAUAGUGAAAGAUGGCUUUGCUAUCACUUAUAGAUGGACCUGCGCCGUAUUAGCUAGUUGGUAAGGUAACGGCUUACCAAGGCAACGAUACGCAGCCGACCUGAGAGGGUGAUCGGCCACACUGGAACUGAGACACGGUCCAGACUCCUACGGGAGGCAGCAGUAGGGAAUCUUCCGCAAUGGGCGAAAGCCUGACGGAGCAACGCCGCGUGAGUGAUGAAGGUCUUCGGAUCGUAAAACUCUGUUAUUAGGGAAGAACAAACGUGUAAGUAACUGUGCACGUCUUGACGGUACCUAAUCAGAAAGCCACGGCUAACUACGUG